rnacentral:rRNA from 1 species
CGGGGUGAGUAACGCGUGGAUAACCUGCCUCACACAGGGGGAUAACAGUUAGAAAUGACUGCUAAUACCGCAUAAGCGCACAGUACCGCAUGGUACAGUGCGAAAAACUCCGGUGGUGUGAGAUGGAUCCGCGUCUGAUUAGGUAGUUGGUGAGGUAACGGCCCACCAAGCCGACGAUCAGUAGCCGACCUGAGAGGGUGACCGGCCACAUUGGGACUGAGACACGGCCCAA